GCUCCAGCCAUGCCGCGUGUGUGAAGAAGGCUUUCGGGUUGUAAAGCACUUUCAGCGAGGAAGAAAGCCUCUGGAUUAAUACCCCAGAGGAAGGACAUCACUCGCAGAAGAAGCACCGGCUAACUCCGUGCCAGCAGCCGCGGUAAUACGGAGGGUGCGAGCGUUAAUCGGAAUUACUGGGCGUAAAGCGCGCGUAGGUGGCUUGGCACGCCGGUUGUGAAAGCCCCGGGCUCAACCUGGGAACGGCAUCCGGAACGGCCAGGCUAGAGUGCAGGAGAGGAAGGUAGAAUUCCCGGUGUAGCGGUGAAAUGCGUAGAGAUCGGGAGGAAUACCAGUGGCGAAGGCGGCCUUCUGGCCUGACACUGACACUGAGGUGCGAAAGCGUGGGUAGCAAACAGGAUUAGAUACCCUGGUAGUCCACGCCGUAAACGAUGUCGACUAGCCGUUGGGACCUUUAAGGACUUAGUGGCGCAGUUAACGCGAUAAGUCGACCGCCUGGGGAGUACGGCCGCAAGGUUAAAACUCAAAUGAAUUGACGGGGGCCCGCACAAGCGGUGGAGCAUGUGGUUUAAUUCGAUGCAACGCGAAGAACCUUACCUACCCUUGACAUCCAGAGAAGUUGGCAGAGAUGCCUUCGUGCCUUCGGGAACUCUGAGACAGGUGCUGCAUGGCUGUCGUCAGCUCGUGUUGUGAAAUGUUGGGUUAAGUCCCGUAACGAGCGCAACCCUUGUCCUUAUUUGCCAGCGAGUAAUGUCGGGAACUCUAAGGAGACUGCCGGUGACAAACCGGAGGAAGGUGGGGACGACGUCAAGUCAUCAUGGCCCUUACGGGUAGGGCUACACACGUGCUACAAUGG
rnacentral:rRNA from 1 species